GUUGUAUGGUUAAGUGACUAAGCGUAUGUGGUGGAUGCCUUGGCAGUUAGAGGCGAUGAAGGACGUGUUAAUCUGCGAAAAGCUGAGUUAAGCCGAUAAAAGGCGUUAUAGGCUCAGAUGUCCGAAUGGGGAAACCCACCCGUCAUCAGGCGGGUAUCGUUAAGUGAAUUCAUAGCUUAACGAGGCGAACCGGGAGAACUGAAACAUCUAAGUACCCCGAGGAAAAGAAAUCAACCGAGAUUUCCUUAGUAGCGGCGAGCGAACGGGAAUUAGCCCUUAAGCGGUUUGUAAGUUAGUGGAAUGAGCUGGAAAGCUCAGCGAUACAGGGUGAUAGCCCCGUACACGAAAAUGAACUUACCGUGAAAUCGAGUAGGUCGGGACACGAGAAAUCUUGACUGAAUAUGGGGGGACCAUCCUCCAAGGCUAAAUACUCCUAACUGACCGAUAGUGAACCAGUACCGUGAGGGAAAGGCGAAAAGAACCCCUGUGAGGGGAGUGAAAUAGAACCUGAAACCGCAUACGUACAAGCAGUGGAAGCCCCAUCAUCAAAUGGCUUUUAUGGGUUCUUUCUGUGAGAAGCUUUGCUUGCUCACUCAAAGACACACCGAAGAAAUAGAACCAAUUCUGCAACCUAGCAGAGUUAAAGGUUUAUUUCGAAUAACUCUUUAUGGGUUCUUUCUGUGAGAAGCUUUGCUUGCUCACUCAAAGACACACCGAAGAAAUAGAACCGAUGAUGGUUCAAAUGACAAGAGUCAUUUGAGAUGGGGUGACUGCGUACCUUUUGUAUAAUGGGUCAGCGACUUAUGUUCUGUAGCUAGGUUAACCGAAUAGGGGAGCCGUAGCGAAAGCGAGUGUUAACUGCGCGUUCAGUUGCAGGGCAUAGACCCGAAACCCGGCGAUCUACCCAUGGGCAGGUUGAAGGUUGAGUAACAUCAACUGGAGGACCGAACACACGUAUGUUGAAAAAUGCGGUGAUGACCUGUGGGUCGGAGUGAAAGGCUAAUCAAGCCGGGAGAUAGCUGGUUCUCCCCGAAAUCUAUUUAGGUAGAGCCUCGGACGAACACCAUUGGGGGUAGAGCACUGUUAAGGCUAGGGGGUCAUCCCGACUUACCAACCCUUUGCAAACUCCGAAUACCAAUGAGUGCUAUCCGGGAGACACACUAUGGGUGCUAACGUCCAUAGUGGAAAGGGAAACAACCCAGACCGCCAGCUAAGGUCCCAAAGUCAUAGUUAAGUGGGAAACGAUGUGGAAAGGCAUAGACAGCUAGGAGGUUGGCUUAGAAGCAGCCACCCUUUAAAGAAAGCGUAAUAGCUCACUAGUCGAGUCGGUCUGCGCGGAAGAUGUAACGGGGCUAAACUAUGCACCGAAGCUGCGGAUUGGAGCAUAUCACUAAAGUUAUUUAAGACUUCUGUGUUUUCUUCUUUUUGAUAAAUGAAGAGAAAACACUCAAGCGUCCCCAAACAGUCGAUGGGCUGUGCGGAUAGAGAUGAUUUUAGGAUAUGCUCCAGUGGUAGGGGAGCGUUCUGUAAGCCGUUGAAGGUGAACUGAGAAGUUUGCUGGAGGUAUCAGAAGUGCGAAUGCUGACAUGAGUAACGAUAAUGGGGGUGAAAAACCCCCACGCCGAAAGACCAAGGUUUCCUGUCCCAUGUUAAUCAGGGCAGGGUAAGUCGGCCCCUAAGGCGAGGCGGAAACGCGUAGUCGAUGGGAAACAGAUUAAUAUUUCUGUACUUCUUAUAAUUGCGAAGGAGGGACGGAGCAGGCUAGGCAAGCAUGGCGUUGGUUGUCCAUGUGAAAGUAUGUAGGCUGAAGAAUUAGGUAAAUCCGGUUCUUCUUAAGGCUGAGAUACGAGACGAGGCUCUACGGAGCUGAAGUUGUUGAUGCCCUACUUCCAGGAAAAGCUUCUAAGCAUCAGAUUAUAAGGAACCGUACCCCAAACCGACACAGGUGGUUAGGUAGAGAAUACUAAGGCGCUUGAGAGAACUCGGGUGAAGGAACUAGGCAAAAUAGUACCGUAACUUCGGGAGAAGGUACGCCGGCUAGGGUGAUGAGACUUGCUCUCUAAGCCUCGGUCGGUCGAAGUAACCAGGUGGCUGGAACUGUUUAUUAAAAACACAGCACUGUGCAAAAUCGAAAGAUGACGUAUACGGUGUGACGCCUGCCCGGUGCCGGAAGGUUAAUUGAUUGGGUUAGCGUAAGCGAAGCUCAUGAUCGAAGCCCCGGUAAACGGCGGCCGUAACUAUAACGGUCCUAAGGUAGCGAAAUUCCUUGUCGGGUAAGUUCCGACCUGCACGAAUGGCGUAAUCAUGGCCACACUGUCUCCACCCGAGACUCAGUGAAAUUGAAUUUGCGGUUAAGAUGCCGUAUACCCGCGGCUAGACGGAAAGACCCCGUGAACCUUUACUAUAGCUUGACAGUGAACAUUGCUCCUACAUGUGUAGGAUAGGUGGGAGGCUUUGAAACUUUGUCGCCAGAUAGAGUGGAGCCAAUCUUGAAAUACCACCCUUGUAUGCGUGAUGUUCUAACCUAGGCCCCUAAUCGGGGCUGGGGACACUGUCUGGUGGGUAGUUUGACUGGGGCGGUCUCCUCCCAAAGCGUAACGGAGGAGCACGAAGGUUGGCUAAGUAUGGUCGGACAUCAUACGGUUAGUGCAAUGGCAUAAGCCAGCUUAACUGCGAGACAGACACGUCGAGCAGGUACGAAAGUAGGUCAUAGUGAUCCGGUGGUUCUGUAUGGAAGGGCCAUCGCUCAACGGAUAAAAGGUACUCCGGGGAUAACAGGCUGAUACCGCCCAAGAGUUCAUAUCGACGGCGGUGUUUGGCACCUCGAUGUCGGCUCAUCACAUCCUGGGGCUGAAGUCGGUCCCAAGGGUAUGGCUGUUCGCCAUUUAAAGUGGUACGCGAGCUGGGUUUAGAACGUCGUGAGACAGUUCGGUCCCUAUCUGCCGUGGGCGUUUGAGAAUUGAAGAGGGCUGCUCCUAGUACGAGAGGACCGGAGUGGACGAACCUCUGGUGUUCCGGUUGUCACGCCAGUGGCAUUGCCGGGUAGCUAUGUUCGGAACUGAUAACCGCUGAAAGCAUCUAAGCGGGAAGCAGGCUUUGAGAUGAGUUCUCACUGGAGCUUUAAGCUCCCUAAAGGGUCGUUGGAGACUACAACGUUGAUAGGUCAGGUGUGUAAGUGCUGCGAGGCAUUGAGCUAACUGAUACUAAUUGCCCGUGAGGCUUAACCAUACAACACCAAAG
rnacentral:rRNA from 1 species